rnacentral:rRNA from 1 species
GACGAACGCUGGCGGCGUGCCUAAUACAUGCAAGUCGAGCGGACCAAAGGGAGCUUGCUCCUGGAGGUUAGCGGCGAACGGGUGAGUAACACGUGGGCAACCUGCCAGUAAGACUGGGAUAACAUCGAGAAAUCGGUGCUAAUACCGGAUAAUAAAAAGAACUGCAUGGUUCUUUUUUGAAAGAUGGUUUCGGCUAUCACUUACAGAUGGGCCCGCGGCGCAUUAGCUAGUUGGUGAGGUAACGGCUCACCAAGGCGACGAUGCGUAGCCGACCUGAGAGGGUGAUCGGCCACACUGGGACUGAGACACGGCCCAGACUCCUACGGGAGGCAGCAGUAGGGAAUCUUCCGCAAUGGACGAAAGUCUGACGGAGCAACGCCGCGUGAGUGAUGAAGGUUUUCGGAUCGUAAAACUCUGUUGUUAGGGAAGAACAAGUGCCGUUCGAAAGGGCGGCACCUUGACGGUACCUAACGAGAAAGCCACGGCUAACACGUGCCAGCAGCCGCGGUAAAG